rnacentral:rRNA from 1 species
AUGGAGCUCCAGCAAGCAUGUGUGCCUACCCUCCUUGCCCAUGAGUUCCUGCAACAACAGCAGAUCGUGUGUGUGUGGGGUACCAGCCAGAUAAAUACUACACAAAUCAUGUUCAUGAUAUACAAAUCCCUUAUUCCAGUGAGCGAAACUGAAGCUUGCUGCUUGUGCCUAGCAGGCGAUAACGGCACCACGAGGAUUCGCUUCCGUGAGGAGGACCCCACCCGUAUGAUGGCCACCGGAAGCUUCACACUUGCUUGUGUGUCUUGCAAAAAAGUAUCUAAGAAUGUUGAUGAUUACACUCGGAGCAAGCCUUGUCGCGGUGCUGCAAGUGUUGCCCCCCUCCUCCCCAAGGGCAAGGUGAAGGAAGGUGCCUGUGUGGUUCUUCUGCAGCUCGCAGCGAGGAUUGUUGUGUCCAACCUGCACAAGAAUGCCGAGAAGUCCUUCUUGGAGACGAUUAAGGACAUGUACCUGCACUACAACGAGAGAUCUAGGCUGCUUCUUUGUGGCUUCUAA